UGACUUGACAAGUUGCGUUUAAGGAGAGGAAGAUGCGUAGAUCCGCGAGUGGCUCAAGAGUUUCAGAUCAAUUUUCCCAGGCGAAGCCGUCACACUCACGGUCUAUGAGUCGAUCUCAGAGUGUUAGACUUGUUGAAGAUGCGGAGCUGCAUUUGCCAAGGUACGACCCGAGUUCUCAAUCGGGUAAGAGAGAGGAGAAGUCACGAUCGAGAUCUGCUGAAAAUGUCGUCCAUUUCAUUCCCCUUCUUCUUGUCCUCUGUGUUAUAAUCCUCUGGCUCUUCUCUCGUUCAGGUAAACCAUUCGUGCUUGGUUUAAUUGGUUCGAUGUGAUUGAUUUUUUUUUCUAAUUUCAAUCUGAUUCGUGAUACUAAAGUAACUAAACCAGUGAUGUAUGGUUUAUGUCAGCGGCUGUCUUUUAAGGAGUCGAGGUUGAAGAAGCUAAAGGCUGUUACUUGUUUCCUUUGGGAAAGAACCAACUUUUUACUGCCAGAACUGGCGCCACGCAAAUGUUUUUUUCUUUUCCUUUCUUUUUUUGAAUUUUGUUUUUUCUUUUCGACAAACCAGCCUUCAUUUAUAUAGCCUUGUUUUGUUAUAAAUGUGUAAUUUCACUAUGUAAUACUAUUUCUACGUCAAUACUCAAAAAUUGUAAGACAUACAAACUCAUUUUCAGCAAAUCACUAAUC
rnacentral:lncRNA from 1 species